CCUACGGGAGGCAGCAGUGGGGAAUAUUGCACAAUGGGGGAAACCCUGAUGCAGCGACGCCGCGUGAGUGAAGAAGUAUUUCGGUAUGUAAAGCUCUAUCAGCAGGGGAGAAAAUGACGGUACCCACAGAGGAAGCACCGGCUAACUCCGUGCCAGCAGCCGCGGUAAUGCGGAGGGUGCAAGCGUUGUCCGGAAUCAUUGGGCGUAAAGAGUUCGUAGGCGGGAGGUAAAGUCAGGUGUUAAAGGCGCAGGCUCAACCUGGGUAGGGCACUUGAUACUUGAAAGCUGGAAUGCGGUAGAGGUAAAGGGAAUUCCUGGUGUAGCGGUGAAAUGCUUAGAUAUCAGGAGGAACAUCGGUGGCGUAAGCGCUUUACUGGGCCGUAAUUGACGCUGAGGAACGAAAGCCAGGGUAGCAAAUGGGAUUAGAUACCCCAGUAGUC
rnacentral:rRNA from 1 species